rnacentral:rRNA from 1 species
CCUACGGGAGACAGCAGUGAGGAAUAUUGGUCAAUGGACGCAAGUCUGAACCAGCCAUGCCGCGUGCAGGAAGACGGCUCUAUGAGUUGUAAACUGCUUUUGUACGAGGGUAAACGCAGAUACGCGUAUCUGUCUGAAAGUAUCGUACGAAUAAGGAUCGGCUAACUCCGUGCCAGCAGCCGCGGUAAUACGGAGGAUUCAAGCGUUAUCCGGAUUUAUUGGGUUUAAAGGGUGCGUAGGCGGUCGGAUAAGUUAGAGGUGAAAUCGCGAGGCUCAACUUCGGAAGUGCCUCUGAUACCGGUCGGCUAGAGAGGAGUUGCGGUAAGCGGAAUGGAUGGUGUAGCGGUGAAAUGCUUAGAGAU